UACGUAGGGGGCAAGCGUUGUCCGGAAUCAUUGGGCGUAAAGCGCGUGUAGGCGGCUUCGUCAGUCCGUUGUGAAAGUCCAGGGCUCAACCCUGGAAUGCCGAUGGAUACUGCGGAGCUCGAGUCCGGAAGAGGCGAGUGGAAUUCCUGGUGUAGCGGUGAAAUGCGCAGAUAUCAGGAGGAACACCAAUGGCGAAGGCAGCGCGCUGGGACGGUACUGACGCUGAGACGCGAAAGCGUGGGGAGCAAACAGG
rnacentral:rRNA from 1 species